rnacentral:miRNA from 1 species
GGGGGAAGGAAGAGCCUAGAAUG